AUUGAACGCUGGCGGCAUGCUUUACACAUGCAAGUCGAACGGUAACAGGCCGCAAGGUGCUGACGAGUGGCGAACGGGUGAGUAAUGCAUCGGAACGUGCCCAGUCGUGGGGGAUAACUACUCGAAAGAGUAGCUAAUACCGCAUACGAUCUAUGGAGGAAAGCGGGGGACCGCAAGGCCUCGCGCGAUUGGAGCGGCCGAUGUCAGAUUAGGUAGUUGGUGGGGUAAAGGCACACCAAGCCAACGAUCUGUAGCUGGUCUUAGAGGAGGAGCAGCGAAACUGGUACUGAGACGCGGCCCAGACUCCUACGGGAGGCAGCAGUGGGGAAUUUUGGACAAUGGGCGCAAGCCUGAUCCAGCAAUGCCGCGUGCAGGAAGAAGGCCUUCGGGUUGUAAACUGCUUUUGUACGGAACGAAACGGCUCUGGUUAAUACCCGGAGCUAAUGACGGUACCGUAAGAAUAAGCACCGGCUAACUACGUG
rnacentral:rRNA from 1 species